UACGGGGGGAGCAAGCGUUGUUCGGAUUUACUGGGCGUAAAGGGCGCGUAGGCGGCCACCGCAAGUCGACUGUGAAAUCUCCGGGCUUAACCCGGAAAGGUCAGCCGAUACUGCGGGGCUAGAGUGCAGAAGGGGCAACUGGAAUUCUCGGUGUAGCGGUGAAAUGCGUAGAUAUCGAGAGGAACACCUGCGGCGAAGGCGCCGCUCUGGGCCGUGACUGACGCUGAGGAGCGAAAGCGUGGGUAGCAAACAGG
rnacentral:rRNA from 1 species